rnacentral:tRNA from 1 species
GGCGUGGUAGCCAAGUGGUAAGGCAGGGGUCUGCAAAACCCCUAUUCGUGGGUUCGAUUCCCACUCACGCCUCCA